CCUACGGGAGGCAGCAGUGAGGAAUAUUGGUCAAUGGACGCAAGUCUGAACCAGCCAUGCCGCGUGCAGGAAGAAGGCUCUAUGAGUUGUAAACUGCUUUUGUCCGAGGGCAAACACAGAUACGCGUAUCUGUCUGAAAGUAUCGUACGAAUAAGGAUCGGCUAACUCCGUGCCAGCAGCCGCGGUAAUACGGAGGAUUCAAGCGUUAUCCGGAUUUAUUGGGUUUAAAGGGUGCGCAGGCGGUCGGAUAAGUUAGCGGUGAAAUCCCGAGGCUCAACUUCGGAAUUGCCGCUGAUACUGGUCGGCUAGAGAUGAGUUGCGGUAGGCGGAAUGUAUGGUGUAGCGGUGAAAUGCUUAGAGAUCAUACAGAACACCGAUUGCGAAGGCAGCAUGCCAGGCUACUUCUGACGUUGAGGCACGAAAGCGUGGGUAGCGAACAGGAUUAGAUACCCCAGUAGUC
rnacentral:rRNA from 1 species